CUCUGUAAAUCAUAUUCAUGUGGGUGCAUAUAUAUGCAUAUAUAUUAACGAAUCUAAGCAUAUACAUACAUAUAAUAUAUUACAUCCACCAGAAUUAACUACAGCCUUUCCAACAAAACUGUGCUCAGAAUCACCUUCCCUCCCUUCUCAAUCAUGUUGUUCUCCAGAUCUUAAAAAAAAAACAUUUCCACUCUGUUUUUUUUCUCCUUCUUUCUUGUGUUGUGCGUUUUUGCAAAUUAACUGAACAACAGCAACACCAAGUAUGCUCAGCUCAAUUACAGCUAGUCUUGACUCUUGAAGAAGAGACAUGUACUUGUACAUAUGCAACAUGGAUGUCAUCCACACGAAUGGAUCGGACGUGUAUAUAUGUAUAUAUGAUUAACUAGCUAGAGCGCAUCAUAUCGCAGUUUAACUGAUUUCUUUCUUGUAUGGGUCGCAUCGCAAAUCGCCCGCGAGAAGUAUAUAAUCCACGGAUACGGAUACCUAAUCAUCCACCAUCGAUCAGUUGUAGCCGGGCGGCGGCGGCGGCGGCGGCUUCUGGUGCUGGACGGUGAGCCGUGCAGGGAGCGGUCGGCCCGUGCCGGAGCCGCCGCAGCUGCGGCAGGGCAUCCUCCCCGACCCAGCGCAGAUGCACUCCACGCGGCCGGAGCCGCCGCACGUGGCGCAGCGCGGGCGCGCGUCCCACCUGGAGGCCGCCGGGAGCCCGUUCCCGAGGGACCGGUUGGCCAUCGCCACGCCGGCCAGCAUGCCCAGCCCGGCCGACGCAAUCACCACCGGCGCCACCAUCCUGCGCUGCUGCUUGAAUCGUCUAGCCAACGAGUCGCGGCUAGCUAGCUACCUUUGGUUCUUGGAUAUGGAGGAAGAGGCAGAAGUGUUUUUCUUGGCUUUCUUGCGUAUAUACCGGCCGGCCGGCGACGACUCGCUCGACGAGCUGCUGUUGCGUUGGGAGUCGCCUGUGGAGAGGAAAAGAUUUGGGUCGUGUGUGGAGUCAGUUUUUUGGCCGGAGGCGAGUAGGCGACGGCUUUUCUGUGUAGGAGAAG
rnacentral:misc_RNA from 1 species